UAGCGGCGAGCGAACGGGGAGCAGCCCAGAGCCUGAAUCAGUGUGUGUGUUAGUGGAAGCGUCUGGAAAGGCGCGCGAUACAGGGUGACAGCCCCGUACACAAAAAUGCACAUGCUGUGAGCUCGAUGAGUAGGGCGGGACACGUGGUAUCCUGUCUGAAUAUGGGGGGACCAUCCUCCAAGGCUAAAUACUCCUGACUGACCGAUAGUGAACCAGUACCGUGAGGGAAAGGCGAAAAGAACCCCGGCGAGGGGAGUGAAAAAGAACCUGAAACCGUGUACGUACAAGCAGUGGGAGCACAGAGCAAUCUGUGUGACUGCGUACCUUUUGUAUAAUGGGUCAGCGACUUAUAUUCUGUAGCAAGGUUAACCGAAUAGGGGAGCCGAAGGGAAACCGAGUCUUAACUGGGCGUUAAGUUGCAGGGUAUAGACCCGAAACCCGGUGAUCUAGCCAUGGGCAGGUUGAAGGUUGGGUAACACUAACUGGAGGACCGAACCGACUAAUGUUGAAAAAUUAGCGGAUGACUUGUGGCUGGGGGUGAAAGGCCAAUCAAACCGGGAGAUAGCUGGUUCUCCCCGAAAGCUAUUUAGGUAGCGCCUCGUGAAUUCAUCUCCGGGGGUAGAGCACUGUUUCGGCAAGGGGGUCAUCCCGACUUACCAACCCGAUGCAAACUGCGAAUACCGGAGAAUGUUAUCACGGGAGACACACGGCGGGUGCUAACGUCCGUCGUGAAGAGGGAAACAACCCAGACCGCCAGCUAAGGUCCCAAAGUCAUGGUUAAGUGGGAAACGAUGUGGGAAGGCCCAGACAGCCAGGAUGUUGGCUUAGAAGCAGCCAUCAUUUAAAGAAAGCGUAAUAGCUCACUGGUCGAGUCGGCCUGCGCGGAAGAUGUAACGGGGCUAAACCAUGCACCGAAGCUGCGGCAGCGACGCUUAUGCGUUGUUGGGUA
rnacentral:rRNA from 1 species